rnacentral:lncRNA from 10 species
GAAUGAUUGGGAACCAAUGAAUAGUUGUUCAGUAAAUGGUUUAUAUUUUACAGAUGAUGAAACUGAAACACAAAAAAUUUAGAUUAACUCUUAGGUGACAAAGCCAGGAUUGAAGCUCAUGCGGUCUGGCUCCAGAACAACUCUUCUUCAUAGUUACGUUAUACUGCCCCUGCAUUGUUGGUAUUGAAAAUAACUGAUACCGUGCUUCCAGAAGAUUUUUCUAACAGUGUUUGCAAGCUAUAAAAUAGUGCUUUCACUUAGAAAAGGCUAGACGUGGUGGUUCAUGCCUGUAAUCCCAGCACUUUGAGAGGCCGAGGCACCAUGCUGGGAGAUAAGGAUCCAACAUAAGACAAACAGUGCUGAUGCUUUUGGAAAGCUCAUAUUCAAGCUGGGGAGACAAACAACAUACAAGUGGCUGUAGCUACCUUCUGCAUAUGGAUAUCCAGUUUUCCCAGCACCACUUAUUAAAGAGACUGUCUUUUCUGCAGUGUAUAUUCUUGGCACCGUUGUUGAAAAUGAAUUCAUUGUAGGUGUG